AUAAACUACCUGGGAGGCCCUUCUUACAGACCAAACGUCCUUAUAGAAAUGGCUUUCUAAAUGAAAUAAAUGGACAAGACUCCUUUUUCUUCAUUGAGCAAAUAUAUUUACAGCAAGACACCAGGGAUCCUUGGAGGUAUCAUUUUUCAGGACAUUCCUUUCUACAGAAUCAUACUAUCUUCAAGUCCACUCCCACAUAUGCUUGAGGAGGCAACAUAUGUACCAAAGCCUGUCAGUUGGAGUUGCAAGGCCUCACUGCACCAAUCUGAAGUCUUGGGGAACUGUUGUGAACCACUGAGUCUCCAGGAGAGGAAACCAACCUCUGGAUGAACAAUGCCAGGACAGGAGAUGUUUUCUCUGUAAGGUGCUCUAAAGCCUAGACACCCAUCUCUCUGCAGUCCCAGCUGCCAUGGCCCCUUUUCUCCACCUUAAGCUACAAAGACUUUGUCUGGAUUGAGCAGAGCCUUCAGUUCCAUGUAGGAUUUAAGUCUUCUGCUCCCUUAUGAUCAGGCUGCAUCUUUAGGGUACAUCUCUAGGAUCUUCUCUUUGACCACAGGACAUGAGAUCCAGGCCAUGGCAAAGAUGGCAUUCAAAAGCCUCACCUUUUCUCCACCCGGGAGACCAUUCGCUUCUUAAGAACUUGCAAAGCUCUAACCUGAAUUCUUUCAGGAAAAGGAAGAGCAAACAGAAGGGGGUGAAAGAUAAUGUGACAAGGAAUGUUUCUUGGAAUGUUAAUAUUUUUGAAAUAAUUAGGGGUGGGGCAAGAUACCCAGUGUGGUGUAGCGGACUCAGGAGGCCUAGAUUCAAAUCCUUACUCAAUCAUGAAAGCUCACUGGGGGAGUGAAACUAGUAAAACCACUUCUUGAAUACCUCACUUAAGGAUUGCUGCAAGUUGGUUCCUGGUUGCUGGCACACCACUGUGGGAAGCUCCUGCUCAAGGCUGUUAGUUGUAAUCUGUUACAGUGAGAGCAAACACUCCUGGCAGAGAAGCAGCAGCUCCCAGUGGGCGGGGUGACCUCUCAUUCUACCUUUUCCCUUAGAAUUAGAUCAUAAGAUCAAAGACUUUCUCCGGCCAAUCGUAAUGGCGAUUAGGUAACUAGUGUCUUAUCUGAAUUCUCACAACAUAUGAUGUAACUCUUGCUGUAUUAAUAAAAAGAGUUCUCAAGGCAUUGCUUGGGGCUCCACUGGAUCGGA